GUUACGACUCCCGUUACGACUCAUAUGAUCGCCCUUCUCACAUUCAUCUGGUGCUGCAUCAGCGAGGGAAGGCGUAGAAUCCUGCCAUGGCUGCUUCAAUUCUGUCUUCCAUUGCAGCGACGGCGAGCAGGCUCACAGCUCGGCUUCGAAGCUCCUCGCUUGCUUCCUCGUCCUCACCAUCAAGCCCACGCCUCACUGUCCAUGAAGAUCUCAAGCAUCUACAGAGGACGCUGCUUAGGAUCCAGUCCGUGCUCACCGAUGCGGAGGUGAGGGAGAUCCGGGAGGAGUCGGUGAAGCUCUGGCUGCGCGAACUCAAAGCGCUUGCUUAUGAUGCCGACGACGUGCUCGACGAGUACAACUACGAGCUGCUGCGGCCCCAAAUCGAAGUCAAAGUUGGUGCAUCAACCACCGGGAAGAGAAAGCGAGAUGAGGGGAGCGAUUCGACGGCUGUCCUAGCUGGACUAGCGGACAGGAUCAAGCGGAUCAGGGAGAGAUUCGAUGAGAUAGCAAGGGAGCGGGAGGCCCUCCACCUGAAGGAAGAAGACGGAGAGAGAAGGCAGGCCACGGUGAGUAAGCCUCUCCCUACGAGCUCCCUUGUGGAUGAUUCGAGUGUUUAUGGCAGGCAGGUGGACAGGAAGAAGUUAGUCAAUUUACUGCUAUCGGAACGUGGUGGAGACAAGGUUUCAGUGCUUGCCAUCGUCGGCAUGGGAGGCAUUGGUAAAACGACACUUGCCCAAUAUGUUUAUAACCAUCAUAAGGUCUGUACCCAUUUUGACAUCAGGGUAUGGAUCUAUGUCUCGGUUGAUUUUGAUGUGAUAAGCAUCACAAGAACCAUAAUCAAAUUCAUUACUGGGAGUUCUUGUGAUGACAGUGAACUUGAUCUUCUUCAUUCGACUCUGACGAAGCUAUUAAACAAAAAAAGAUUCCUGCUUGUGCUAGAUGAUGUGUGGAAUGAGCUGCCAAGUCCAUGGGAAUCCUUAAGCUUCCCCAUGGCUUAUGCAUCGAGUACUAAAAUCAUGAUCACGACACAGAACGAAUCGGUUGCUCGGGUGAUGCAGACAAUGCCACCAUAUUACUUGGGUGCUUUGGAUGAUUACUCUUGUCAGUUGUUGUUUGAUAGAUAUGCAUUUAAGGACAAGGCACCGGGAUUGCCCAACACUCGGAUGACACUGGAAGGAAUCGGUCGUCAAACGGGAUUGUCCAACGCUCGGACGACACUGGAAAGAAUCGGUCGUCAAACGAGUUUGCUCAACACUCGGACGACACUGGAAGGAAUCGGUCGUCAAACGAGAUUGCCCAACACUCGGAUGACACUGGAAGGAAUCGGUCGUCAAACGGGAUUGCCCAACACUCGGACGACACUGGAAGGAAUUGGUCGUCAAAUUGUCCGAAAGUGCAAUGGCUUACCUUUGGCUGCUAAAACACUUGGAAGUCUUUUAAGCUUCGAAGAUGAUGAGGAGAAGUGGCAGGAUAUUCUAGAAAGUGAAUUGUGGGGAUUAUUUGAUGAAGGGAGAAAUGAGAUCUUCGCCGCUCUGAGAUUGAGCUAUUAUCGUAUGCCGACACACUUGAAGCAGUGUUUUGUGUACUUUUCCUUGUUCCCGAAAGGCUAUCUAUUUGAGAAAGAUCACAUAGUGAAGCUGUGGAUGGCACAGGGUUAUAUUCAACCCAGAAGGAGAAGCCGACUGGAAGAUGUGGGUGGUUCAUACUUUGAUGAGCUGCUACAAAGACAGUUUUUUCAAAUUUCAAAACUCAGUGAUGCUAAAGAUGAAAAUUAUGUGAUGCACGAUGUCAUUCAUGAUCUAGCAAAAUCUAUUGCAGGGGAGGAUUAUAUAAUCACUGAGGACCAUAAAUUAUCUGAUAUUUCUGAAGACGUGCUUCAUGCAACUCUUAUACCCAACAGCAAUGAUAAAAAAGUGCACAACAUCAGAACAGAGAGACACACGACGGUGCAGUUUCAGUUCUUGAAUGAGCCCAAACGUUUGCGUACCUUUGUGGUGCAUAAGUCCAAACAGUGGUUUCCAUCAAAAAGAAAUAUGUUGGAACAAACUCAAAAUAUUAUAUGUAUUGAGAUGCCAAAUGAUGUUUUCCAAAGUUUAAGGCUCUUCCGCACACUGGACUUGAGUUUUACUAUGAUUGAAAAAUUACCAGACUCAAUUGGCAAUUUGAUACACCUUCGCUACAUUGGUCUUCGGAGUACGAAUCUUCGACAUUUGCCUCAGUCAUUGUGUCAGUUAUAUAAUCUGCAAACAUUGGAUUUGAAGCACUGCGAGUUUCUUUCGGAUCUUCCUAGAGGCAUCGGGAACCUCAUUAAUCUAAGGCAUCUCAUUCUGCCAAUAUUGGAAGAUCUACAUGUCUGCAUUCCACCUGGACUCAGAAAGCUGACCAAUCUCCAGACAUUGCCAAUUUUCUAUAUAAAGCCAGAUAGAUUUCACUGUGGUGUAGAGGAGCUAAAGGAAUUGGUAAACCUCAGCUCUCUUCACAUAGUAGGUCCUUACAAGAUGGACGAGGAAUGGGGUCCUUGGUUGAAGAAUAUGAAAAACCUGCAGAACGUGAGGCUUCGCUGGUUUUCGUACGACUGUGGACCGUGUGGCUAUAGUGACGGUACCAAUCUGGAGAAUGGUGACAAGAUGCUACACAGUGAAAUUGGACUGAAACAGGAUGAUUCUUGGCAUAGGAUAGGUGCUGAAAAGCACGAGGCUGCAUGUUUCGUAGAGAAUCAGCGACGGAUGAGUUUGAUGGAAUUGGUUGUCGAGGGCUAUAAUGGACCGAGACUUCCGAGAUGGUUGGGUGAUCCGAGUUUUUCCAAGCUUGCUACCAUAAGACUAGAGCUCUGCAAUGAUAAGUGUAUCCUUCUCCCUUCGCUUGGCCAGCUUGUGUCACUGAAGCAUCUAUCCAUAGGAGGAAUGCAGAGGUUGCAGCGUGUUGACCGUGAAUUCUGGGGUGGUGGUAUGAUGGUUGGCAAGGGAUUCCAAGCGCUAGAGACACUUGAAUUCACAGAGAUGCCAGAGUGGGAGGAGUGGUGUGGGGAGGAUGGUGAAUUCCCUCAUCUCCGCGAGCUCACAAUUGGUGUCUGUCCAAAGCUGUUCAUGUUUGACUGCCUCCUUUUUCCUUCACUCGUCGAGCUGAAGAUAUACAACUGCGGAGAGUUGACUUCAAUUCCCAUAUGUCCCUCACUAAGUAGUCUCCUGUUGUGGGGGAAAUGUAACUUGGAGAUUUGGUUUCCAUCUCUAAACCUUCCCAAGCUCCAUCACUUGGUAGUUUCAAGCUCUCAGGGACUGAGAACUCUUCAUGUGCGUCAGAAUGUACCUGCACUCAGAACGCUGUGCGUCGACAACUGUCCAAAACUUUUAGAAGCCACUGGACUGCAUCAUCUUUCUUCCCUUGUAAGCUUACAGAUAUCCAAUUGCCCUCAGUUUUAUAUCAAAGAGAAACUUCCAUCCCAUGUUCAAGUAUUGUUAUAUCCAUCUGAGCAAAUGCAGAGAAGAAGCAUAUCAGUCUCCAGUGACAGAACUGAUAAUUACACACGGGAGGGGCCUUUGUUCUCUGGACUCUCUCUUGUUCUCUGAACUCUCUCGUUGACUACAAAUACCAGACUGCCACUUGGCAAAUAUGGCAAAGAUGGCUGCUGGGAAUGAAGCUUUUCAAGCAGGAAAUUAUAGGGAUGCACCGGAACAUGGUUCUGCUGCUUUAGCAUGCAACACCAUAUCACGUCCUUUUGCUGUAACAUGCUUCUGUAAUCCUCCUCCUGCUGCUUAUCAAGCCCUGGGACAGAUUAGACAUACCAUUGCAGAUUGCGGUGGCAUUAGCAAUCACAAUUGAUUCCAGUGAUCCAAAAAGUUGCUCGUUUGUUGACGAGUGAAACUAUUUUGCUGAUAAGCCUUGAAGAUAAAUACAAACAUUAAACAAUGUAACCAAGUAGUUCUUUCCGUAGCUUUACUUUGAGAUUGAUCUGAUUGUAUCUGAAUCUCUUUCAAAUAUUGGCUUGAACUCA